rnacentral:rRNA from 1 species
GAUGAACGCUGGCGGCGUGCCUAAUACAUGCAAGUCGAGCGAACAGACGAGGAGCUUGCUCCUCUGACGUUAGCGGCGGACGGGUGAGUAACACGUGGAUAACCUACCUAUAAGACUGGGAUAACUUCGGGAAACCGGAGCUAAUACCGGAUAAUAUAUUGAACCGCAUGGUUCAAUAGUGAAAGACGGUGUUGCUGUCACUUAUAGAGGGAUCCGCGCCGCAUUAGGUAGUUGGUAAGGUAACGGCUUACCAAGGCAACGAUGCGUAGCCGACCUGAGAGGGUGAUCGGCCACACUGGAACUGAGACACGGUCCAGACUCCUACGGGAGGCAGCAGUAGGGAAUCUUCCGCAAUGGGCGAAAGCCUGACGGAGCAACGCCGCGUGAGUGAUGAAGGUCUUCGGAUCGUAAAACUCUGUUAUGAGGGAAGAACAAAUGUGUAAGUAACUAUGCACGUCUUGACGGUACCUAAUCAGAAAGCCACGGCUAACUACGUG